rnacentral:sRNA from 1 species
GCUGGGUGUGGUGGCGCAUGCCUGUGAUCCUAGCAGCUCAGGAGGCUGAGUCAGGAGGAUCCCAAGUUCAAAGCCAAACUUAACGAGGCCCUAAGCAACUCAGCGAGACCCUGUCUCUA